rnacentral:rRNA from 1 species
UACGAAGGGGGCUAGCGUUGUUCGGAAUUAUUGGGCGUAAAGCGCACGUAGGCGGAUAUUUAAGUCAGGGGUGAAAUCCCAGAGCUCAACUCUGGAACUGCCUUUGAUACUGGGUAUCUGGAGUAUGGAAGAGGUGAGUGGAAUUCCGAGUGUAGAGGUGAAAUUCGUAGAUAUUCGGAGGAACACCAGUGGCGAAGGCGGCUCACUGGUCCAUUACUGACGCUGAGGUGCGAAAGCGUGGGGAGCAAACAGG